AACGAACGCUGGCGGCAGGCUUAACACAUGCAAGUCGAGCGCCCCGCAAGGGGAGCGGCAGACGGGUGAGUAACGCGUGGGAAGCUACCCAUCUCUACGGAAUAACGCAUGGAAGGGUGUGCUAAUACCGUAUACGUCCUUCGGGAGUAAGAUCUAUCGGAGAUGGAUGAGCCCGCGUUGGAUGAGCUAGUUGGUGGGGUAAAGGCCUACCAAGGCGACGAUCCAUAGCUGGUCUGAGAGGAUGAUCAGCCACACUGGGACUGAGACACGGCCCAGACUCCUACGGGAGGCAGCAGUGGGGAAUAUUGGACAAUGGGCGCAAGCCUGAUCCAGCCAUGCCGCGUGAGUGAUGAAGGCCCUAGGGUUGUAAAGCUCUUUCACCGGUGAAGAUAAUGCCGGUAACCGGAGAAGAAGCCCCGGCUAACUUCGUGCCAGCAGCCGCCGUAACAC
rnacentral:rRNA from 1 species